rnacentral:lncRNA from 1 species
AUUACAUUCUCUCCCCUUGUCACCCUCUAGGGAGAAAACUAAAGUUGCCAAAGUUAGCCAAGGAGUAGAAGAUGGGCCUGACACCAAGAGAGCAAAACUUGAUUCUUCUGAGACAACGAUGGUCAAAAAGAAGGUGGUCUUCUGCCCUGUUAAAGAAGCCCUGGAGGUGGACUGGAGCAGUGAGAAAGCAAAGGCUGCUCUGAAGCGCACGACCUCCGACUACUUUCUCCUUCAAGGUACUGCUUCUCCGAGAUGGCCCCAGUGUGUGCGGUGGUUGGAGGGAUUUUGGCACAGGAAAUUGUGAAGGCCCUGUCUCAGCGGGACCCUCCUCACAACAACUUCUUCUUCUUCGAUGGCAUGAAGGGGAAUGGGAUUGUGGAGUGCCUUGGCCCCAAGUGAACUCAAGAUUUGGCAGCCCCAGAGAUGCCAACUGCAGCAUGCCCGCCUGUAUUCCCUGUCCCCUUCCUUCAUGAAGGCAUCUCCAGGCAAGGAAAACUGAAGUCAUUGGCCUGAUACAAAACAUUUCCUGCAACAAAGGAGGUGGUGCCGACGUGCUGCUUCCCAUCACCAGCAGCCGCUCGACAAGGGGCGCAGGGUGGCUGUCUUUGUUCCAGCACUGUUCAGGCUGCCUGUCAUCCCGGGCCUGCCAGCUCCCCUGAGUGAUGAGCACUUCCAAGCACCCCUCUGCCCUUUCUCUGUCCUUAUGCUGUCCCGGCCUCGCCAGCCCUCUGGGGCAUUGUGGGAGAUGCCUGCCAGGAAUGAGCACGCUCUGUUGCUCGGGAGCCUCUUGCCACCUUCUUGGACUUAUUCCCCACCUGAUAUCUUAUAGAGAAAAGUGUGAAUUCAGGUGGAGAGUAGGCCCAGGCCCCAUGAGGCACCAGUGGAAGCACAGCUCCAAGUUCAGACAGGUGCCCUUAGAGAGGAAAACCAUGACAGGCAAAUGCAUUUCCUCUGGAGUUUGAGACCCUGACAAACAACAGGUGGCAUCUGGUGUGCUGUUCUUGAGUUUUCGUUUAGGAUUAGUUGAGUUCCAGCUGGGUUUUGGGAGAAAGGAGAUGCUACCAAGUCUUGGAUGUUAGGGCGAGACCCUGCAAGUUGAGUAUUAGAGAGCUUGUCUUUCAAGGCAGGUUCCUGGGGCUUCAGGGCUAGGAGGGAGGAGCCUGCCCUUUUAACAGAACCCCAGUCACAUGCGGCCCAAGUCACUCAGAGGCUGUUGCAUUUCAGGGCUGUGUUGGUCCUUUGUUUACCUCCUAAACCACAGCUGUUUGUGUUUCACAUAUGUUGUGAAUUUUCCUUGGUUCUUUUUAAAGGAAUGAUAAUAAAGUUACUUGCUUUAGGAUUUGCUUGUUUUUCUUCCACUUCAGAAGCUUCUGAGAGGGAAUGGGAUGAUCCUACCAGUUGCCUUUUCAGACCUGAGGCUCUAACUCAAGAG